rnacentral:rRNA from 1 species
GGGGAAUAUUGCACAAUGGGCGGAAGCCUGAUGCAGCAACGCCGCGUGCGGGAUGACGGCCUUCGGGUUGUAAACCGCUUUCAGCAGGGGCGAAGCUUUUGUGACGGUACCUGCAGAAGAAGCACCGGCUAACUACGUGCCAGCAGCCGCGGUGAUACGUAGGGUGCGAGCGUUGUCCGGAUUUAUUGGGCGUAAAGAGCUCGUAGGUGGUUGAUUGCGUCGGAAGUGAAAACUUGGGGCUUAACCCUGAGCGUGCUUUCGAUACGGGUUGACUUGAGGAAGGUAGGGGAGAAUGGAAUUCCUGGUGGAGCGGUGGAAUGCGCAGAUAUCAGGAGGAACACCAGUGGCGAAGGCGGUUCUCUGGACCUUUCCUGACGCUGAGGAGCGAAAGCGUGGGGAGCGAACAGGCUUAGAUACCCUGGUAGUCCACGCUGUAAACGGUGGGUACUAGGUGUGGGGUCCAUUCCACGGAUUCCGUGCCGUAGCUAACGCAUUAAGUACCCCGCCUGGGGAGUACGGCCGCAAGGCUA